CUUAGUACGGCGAGUGAAGCGGUAAAAGCUCAAAUUUGAAAUCUGGUACUUUCAGUGCCCGAGUUGUAAUUUGUAGAAUUUGUCUUUGAUUAGGUCCUUGUCUAUGUUCCUUGGAACAGGACGUCAUAGAGGGUGAGAAUCCCGUUUGGCGAGGAUACCUUUUCUCUGUAAGACUUUUUCGAAGAGUCGAGUUGUUUGGGAAUGCAGCUCAAAGUGGGUGGUAAAUUCCAUCUAAAGCUAAAUAUUGGCGAGAGACCGAUAGCGAACAAGUACAGUGAUGGAAAGAUGAAAAGAACUUUGAAAAGAGAGUGAAAAAGUACGUGAAAUUGUUGAAAGGGAAGGGCAUUUGAUCAGACAUGGUGUUUUUUGCAUGCACUCGCCUCUCGUGGGCUUGGGCCUCUCAAAAAUUUCACUGGGCCAACAUCAAUUCUGGCAGCAGGAUAAAUCAUUAAGAAUGUAGCUACUUCGGUAGUGUUAUAGCUUUUUGGAAUACUGUUAGCCGGGAUUGAGGACUGCGCUUCGGCAAGGAUGUUGGCAUAAUGGUUAAAUGCCGCCCGUCUUGAAACCACGGACCA
rnacentral:rRNA from 1 species